rnacentral:rRNA from 1 species
AACGAACGUUAGCGGCGCGCUUAACACAUGCAAGUCGUGCGAGAAAGGGCUUCGGCCCCGGUACAGCGGCGCACGGGUGAGUAACACGUAGGUAAUCUACCCCCAGGUGGUGGAUAACCUUCCGAAAGGAGGGCUAAUACAGCAUAAGACCACGGGACCGAAAGGAACUGAGGUCAAAGCCGGCCUCUUCACGAAAGCUGGCGCCAGGGGAGGAGCCUGCGGCCCAUCAGGUAGUUGGUAGGGUAAUGGACUACCAAGCCGAAGACGGGUAGCUGGUCUGAGAGGAUGGUCAGCCACGCUGGAACUGAGACACGGUCCAGACUCCGACGGGAGGCAGCAGUGGGGAAUCUUGCGCAAUGGGCGAAAGCCUGACGCAGCGACGCCGCGUGAGUGAUGAAGGCCCUCGGGUUGUAAAGCUCUGUGGAGAGGGACGAAUAAGUGUUGGCUAAUAUCCAGCAUGAUGACGGUACCUCUUUAGCAAGCACCGGCUAACUCUGUGCCAGCCGCCGCCGUAACAC